CUGGUUGAUUCUGCCAGUAGUCAUAUGCUUGUCUCAAAGAUUAAACCAUGCAUGUCUAAGUAUAAGCAAACUAUACGGUGAAACUGCGAAUGGCUCAUUAAAUCAGUUAUCGUUUAUUUGAUAGUACCUUACUACUUGGAUACCCGUGGUAAUUCUAGAGCUAAUACAUGCUAAAAACCUCGACUUCGGAAGGGGUGUAUUUAUUAGAUAAAAAACCAAUGUCCUUCGGGGCUCCUUGGUGAUUCAUAGUAACUUAUCGAAUCGCAUGGCCUUGCGCCGGCGAUGGUUCAUUCAAAUUUCUGCCCUAUCAACUUUCGAUGGUAGGAUAGUGGCCUACCAUGGUGGCAACGGGUAACGGGGAAUUAGGGUUCGAUUCCGGAGAGGGAGCCUGAGAAACGGCUACCACAUCCAAGGAAGGCAGCAGGCGCGCAAAUUACCCAAUCCCGAUACGGGGAGGUAGUGACAAUAAAUACUGAUACAGGGCUCUUUCGGGUCUUGUAAUUGGAAUGAGAACAAUCUAAAUCCCUUAACGAGGAACAAUUGGAGGGCAAGUCUGGUGCCAGCAGCCGCGGUAAUUCCAGCUCCAAUAGCGUAUAUUAAAGUUGUUGCAGUUAAAAAGCUCGUAGUUGAACCUUGGGUCUGGCUGGCCGGUCCGCCUCACCGCGUGCACUGGUCCGGCCGGACCUUUCCUUCUGGGAAGCCCCAUGGCCUUCACUGGCUGUGGGGGGAACCAGGACUUUUACUGUGAAAAAAUUAGAGUGUUCAAAGCAGGCCUUUGCUCGGAUACAUUAGCAUGGAAUAAUAGAAUUAGGACGUGUGGUUCUAUUUUGUUGGUUUCUAGGACCGCCGUAAUGAUUAAUAGGGAUGGUCGGGGCGUCAGUAUUCGGCUGUCAGAGGUGAAAUUCUUGUAUUUGCUGAAGACUAACUACUGCGAAAGCAUUCGCUAAAAUUUUUUCAUUUACCAGUGAAGAAAGGAGGCCACGAAGACGAUCAAAUACCGUCGUAGUCUAACCAUAUACUAUGCGCAUUAGGAAUUGGACUGGGUUAUAUGAUGGUCCCGUUCGGCCCUUCAAAAAAAUCAAAUAUUUUG
rfam:Paracoccidioides brasiliensis Pb18 unplaced genomic scaffold supercont2.32, whole genome shotgun sequence.